rnacentral:rRNA from 1 species
AGCGAACGCUGGCGGCAGGCCUAACACAUGCAAGUCGAACGGAUCCUUCGGGAUUAGUGGCGGACGGGUGAGUAACACGUGGGAACGUGCCCUUUGGUUCGGAACAACUCAGGGAAACCUGAGCUAAUACCGGAUGUGCCCUUCGGGGGAAAGAUUUAUCGCCAUUGGAGCGGCCCGCGUCUGAUUAGCUAGUUGGUGAGGUAAAGGCUCACCAAGGCGACGAUCAGUAGCUGGUCUGAGAGGAUGAUCAGCCACAUUGGGACUGAGACACGGCCCAAACUCCUACGGGAGGCAGCAGUGGGGAAUCUUGCGCAAUGGGCGAAAGCCUGACGCAGCCAUGCCGCGUGAAUGAUGAAGGUCUUAGGAUUGUAAAAUUCUUUCACCGGGGACGAUAAUGACGGUACCCGGAGAAGAAGCCCCGGCUAACUUCGUGCCAGCCGCCGCCGUAACAC